GAUGAACGCUGGCGGCGUGCCUAAUACAUGCAAGUCGAGCGAACAGAUGAGGAGCUUGCUCCUCUGACGUUAGCGGCGGACGGGUGAGUAACACGUGGAUAACCUACCUAUAAGACUGGGAUAACUUCGGGAAACCGGAGCUAAUACCGGAUAAUAUAUUGAACCGCAUGGUUCAAUAGUGAAAGACGGUUUUGCUGUCACUUAUAGAUGGAUCCGCGCCGCAUUAGCUAGUUGGUAAGGUAACGGCUUACCAAGGCAACGAUGCGUAGCCGACCUGAGAGGGUGAUCGGCCACACUGGAACUGAGACACGGUCCAGACUCCUACGGGAGGCAGCAGUAGGGAAUCUUCCGCAAAGGGCGAAAGCCUGACGGAGCAACGCCGCGUGAGUGAUGAAGGUCUUCGGAUCGUAAAACUCUGUUAUUAGGGACGAACAAAUGUGUAAGUAACUAUGCACGUCUUGACGGUACCUAAUCAGAAAGCCACGGCUAACUACGUG
rnacentral:rRNA from 1 species